rnacentral:RNase_P_RNA from 1 species
UGAGGAAUGAGUUUAAGCUCAAAAAUCCUGCAAAUAUACAUACACAAAAUUAAAAAGUCAUAAAAAAGGGAGGAAAGACUUGAAAAUAACCUUUUCUUUUUUUCCUUUUUUUUUAUGCAUUUUGUGUAAUUAAUAAAAUACAGGAAGGAAGGUCUGAGAUGCUGCAAAAAAAGAAUUAAUUAUUUUUUUAUACUUAUUUCUUUAUUAAUAUUUUUGAGAAAAAUAAUAUUGAAAAAAUAUUAAUUAGCUACCAGAAAUACCAAUCAUAUGUAUAUAGUAGUUUUUUUAUUUAUAAACAAAUUAUUUAUAUAUAUAUGAUUUUGAAAAAGCUAAUAAGCAAGUAUACAUUGGUGAGUUCGAUUUUUGAGGUUUUUCAACUGCUUCAAUUUUUUUUUUUGAAGUUGUAGAAAAAUAACUUAAUUCAGACUACUCCUAAAUUCAUUCCAA